UACGUAGGGGGCAAGCGUUGUCCGGAUUUAUUGGGCGUAAAGAGCGUGUAGGCGGUUAUACAGGUCCGCUGUGAAAACUGGAGGCUUAACCUCCAGACGUCGGUGGAAACCGUAUAACUAGAGUCCGGAAGAGGAGAGUGGAAUUCCUGGUGUAGCGGUGGAAAAUGCGCAGAUAUCAGGAAGAACACCCGUGGCGAAGGCGGUUCUCUGGGACGGUACUGACGCUGAGACGCGAAAGCGUGGGGAGCGAACAGGAUUAG
rnacentral:rRNA from 1 species